UACGGAGGGUGCAAGCGUUAUCCGGAUUCACUGGGUUUAAAGGGUGCGUAGGCGGGCAGGUAAGUCAGAGGUGAAAUCUCCGGGCUUAACCCGGAAACUGCCUUUGAUACUAUCUGUCUUGAAUAUGGUGGAGGUAAGCGGAAUAUGUCAUGUAGCGGUGAAAUGCUUAGAGAUGACAUAGAACACCUAUUGCGAAGGCAGCUUACUACGCCUAUAUUGACGCUGAGGCACGAAAGCGUGGGGGAUCAAACAGG
rnacentral:rRNA from 1 species